AAGAGCGCGUUUCUUGUUUCCUGCUUCUCUUUUGAAAACGGAGUCUCCGUAUUUUAUCCCUGCAGACUCCCCGGGCUUCUCUCCAAACGAUGAAUUCCACUGUUCUGAAAGUUUGGUCCCGGUGCUCUGGGCCAUUCAUGAGGUGCUCAGCUCCCCGAUUUCCCCGCCGUGGGCCACAGCCACCUGAUGUGAACCAUUCCUUAUUUUCUACUCAUAUUUGCGGCCCGUCAGAUUGACCUGAGCGAAUGGGUUCCAUGCCUCCAGCCAGCUCCGGGGGGCCGGGUUCAAACAGUCAGGAGGCUGUGUCCAGGCUCGGCGAGGGGACAGGGAGCCCCAGCUGAAGAUCGGUGCUCCACGAACGCCCGGGUGGACGGGGGUGCUGUCCCCUGUGGGAUGGGCAAGACCCACCAGGCUGUCCUGUGGGGCUGAGGCUCGAGUGGAAUUGGGACGCCUCCACGUCUGUCACUUCUGAAACCCAAACAACCUCAAGGAAGCCUCCCCUCUGCUCUCCAGCACAGCGUUUGGACAAGGGGACAGCAGCAGCAUCGAAUGAAGACCCCAGACCACACAACUCCUCCCCAGAGACGGUCCCCACAGAGGAAGCGGCACUCGCGGCCCUUCUCGCCGAAAUGCAUUCCUGUACCAUUCUGUUUAAACUGGACCAAGGCUCUCAGAAAAGAACCUCGCGUUCCCUCGCCCACAGCCUCUGCAUGACUGUUCCACGUAAGCCUGGACUCCUCCUCCCACCUCGCCUCUUCUCUUUCUCAUGAUUUGCUCAGCUAACCCUUUUUAAAAUAUUUUCUGUUUCAGUGUAUAUGUUGCUUAUUUGUUUUAUUUAUUGAGAUAUUUUUAACAAGCUCGGUGACUGCAACGUGGCUGUGUACCCUGCCCCCUCCCGGGAAUAAUAAAGAUGUCCAUGCAGCCCCG
rnacentral:lncRNA from 1 species